CAGCCAUCAAGAAAACAAGGAUUUCAGCCCUAUGGUUGCAAGGAGCUGAAUUCUGCCAACAACAAGAAUGAGUUUGAAAGCAGAUUUUCUCUUUGUUGUCUCCAGCUGAGCACUUAGCCUGGUCAACACCUUAAUUUCAGCUUUGUGGUACCUUGCACAGAGAACACAUCAAGACGUGAAAGACUUCUGUUCUACAAAAUUGCCCUCUGUCAGAGGAAGACUCAGUGAAUUUAUUUUCCACCUGGUCACAUUUCAUAGACUGUGACAGCCAGUGGCUGCUAUGACCACAGCCCACAAAUCCAUUCUGAAAAUAUGUGGUGGACACUUUUCAAGUAAUAGGUAAAAAGCUAUGUUCUCUUGGUAGAGAUAUUUU
rnacentral:lncRNA from 10 species